GAGAAAGAGACAGAAAUAAGACUACUAGAACCUUCCACGGGAAUCUACCCCAUUCAAGAAAAUGUCAGAAGCCCUCAUUGGUAACACAUUUGUUGUUGUAUGGGCACCAUUGGAAAAUUAAUAUUGGGGAACCUUUAAACUUCUUUCAGAUCUAGUUCACAUUCGGAGUUCUAAAUAAACUAUGCACUAUUUGAUGCUAAGAGAGAGACAAUUCAAACAUAACUAUCAUUCUUACAACUCUGAGGAAAACAGUUUACUCUGCCAUCUAAUGUGUACACGCGAAAACUUCAACCCUGAGUUUCAGAGCUAAAUAUGUAUAGAUGGGAAUCCUGCCUCCUACGUACGACUUUCCGCAUUUGAGGAACAAUGUCAACAUGAACAAAAUUAUUCAAGAGGGAUCCAUUAAGCCCCCUUGUUUACGGGCUCUUGGCUGUGGUUAGCAUACUUCGCUAACUUGACGAGAAAAGGUCAAGACUUCGUCCAGCAUAUGACAAUGCAGUCAAAGGCAGCGACAGGUGAAUCAUAAAACAGGAAGCGAGGCUGUGGGUGUAGAACUGUAAUAGAGUGCUUUCCUGGAAUGUGUGAAACACUAGGGGAGCGGGGAGGGGAGAAGAGUGGAAGGAAGGCCUCAAACUAUAGAAUAAUUAAACCUCAUAUCACUCAAAUGUUAUAUUUGGAAUUCCAAAAACACACUCAGAAAUUUCGAACUGCUAUGAUAUUUCAGUUUCUUCGAAGCCUUGACACUAGAGCCAUUCAACAGGAAACAACCAAUCGUUAGGAAUAAGGGCUUGAGUACCGCCUACAGCGUGUGAACCCGUCCACGGCAUUUGGAGGCAAGACUUAAACACAGCAAGGACCUAAGCGUGUUUCUGGGGGAGCCAGAAGGAAGGCUGCCACUCUUUUCUGAUAAAGCCCCUUGCUCCAGCAGGUCAGGAUGUUGCCAUGACCAGACUCUGUUUCUAUGGUGCGCUGAAAGGCAGCUGGGGAGCUGGCUGGGGCAGAACCAGCUGGGAUCUGUUGCUAGGAGCAAAACAAACAGGCCCUCUGCUUCCUGUCCUUCAUUGUCAGGUGUGACUGGAGACGCUGGCCUGCUACCGGGCUCUUUGAGGCCUAAUUUGCAGAGUGCCUGUUCUGUUUCCAGGCCACUUCCUCUUGUGUCACUACUAUCUUAUUGCCAGUCCUUCUCAACCGCUCCCCAUCUACCCAACCUUCCCAGGAGCUGUCCCAGUCCUUAGAGAAGGACCAGCUACAAUGUUUACGGUUAUGCUGUCCAACAAUAAUGUGAACUCCUAUGUAAUAUACAUUCUCUAGUAGCCGCAGUAACAGGGGAAAUGAA